GAAUUCAUUGAAGAGUUGCUGUCUCCCCCUUUUGGGGGUUUAGUGGCAUUUGUGAAGGAGGCUGAGGCUUUGAUUGAGCGUGGACAGGCUGAGCGACUUCGAGGGGAAGAAGCCCGGGUAACUCAGCUGAUCCGUGGCUUCGGUAGUUCCUGGAAAUCAUCAGUGGAAUCUCUGAGUCAGGAUGUAAUGCGGAGUUUCACCAACUUCAGAAAUGGCACCAGUAUCAUUCAGGGAGCGCUGACCCAGCUGAUCCAGCUCUAUCAUCGCUUCCACCGGGUGCUGUCCCAGCCGCAGCUCCGAGCCCUCCCUGCCCGGGCUGAGCUCAUCAACAUUCACCACCUUAUGGUGGAGCUCAAGAAGCAUAAGCCCAACUUCUGAUGUGCUGGAAACCGCCCUGAGAUCUGCCAGUCAUCUCCAUGGACUUCUGCACCCCAUUCCAUACCCUUCUUCACCUGGGGUCCCCCUUCCAGUUUUUCCCUUGCUUCCCAGGCCCUUGACAUGGCUUACUUGCCUUCACUCCCAGCACCUUGCCCAACAGGAUAAGCUGGAUCCCCUUGGCCUUCUGAAUAUCCCACUGUCUUCAGGUUUCCCAAGACCACUUCCCUGUGGGCUU
rnacentral:sRNA from 1 species